UUUUUUUUUGUUUCAUUUUAAAUUGCACUCCUUAACCUGUCCCUAUUGUUUAAUGUUCCCCUGAAGAACCUUCUUAUCUUUCCCACGGUACUCCCCGUUGCCCUCUCAAAUGGUGUCAAUGCCCUCACUGUCCUCCACUGCACUCUGAAUCAAAGUCUUCAUUGCCUCUUUGAGGUGGUCUCAGUUGAGAAUAAGAGGAAAUUAGCCAAUUAAACUAUUAACUAAGCUAAGAAUUUCUGAUAGUUAAGUGACAAAAUAAAAACAACGCAAACAAGGUUUUUGAUCAGAGCUGUCUUCCUGCCAUUCUCUAAAUAAUUGCAGUUAGGCUCUUUCAGCUUUCUUUUGAUACUGCAAACAGAAUAGAGGUCUCCAAUACUAGCUUUUGGUCAGAGGUAAUGAUACAGGAUAAAGAUGGUGAACUCAAUAGUUUUUGAGAAACCAUUAUCACAUUUCAAGGAAUUUUAAAGGCUAUCAUUUAUAAAAUGCAUUCCUAUUUCAGGAAUGUUAAGCUAUGAGCAAGGUGUGCCGUAAAUUCUACCAAAAUGUGGCAUUGGGUUGGUACACUGUGGGGAAACAGCAGGGGAGUGGAGUGAGUGGUGAAAUUUAAUUGAGACUAGGUUCAAGCUCCAAUUGUGCCCCUUACUAGCUAUGAGACCCUCAGCAAAGUGUUUAACUUCUUUGAGCCUGAACAUCCUCAUCUGAAAGCUGGAGAUAAUAUUAGCUACGGGGUUAUUAGAUGUUUUACAUAAGCUAUUGUACAUGAACUAUCUUGACACAUAGCAGGUUCUCAGUGGGUGUUAACUGAAUUUGAAUCUGCUUUUUAAGCACCCUGUGGCCUCGAGGAAAGAAAAUCUGUCCUAUCAAAAGGAUUGAUAGAGAACUCUCUGGUUGGGAGAGAAAAGGCUUCAUCUGUCAAUGCUUGAUCUGCUUUGGACUAUUUUUGACUUGAUAAUAAUUUGCUUGUUAUUCCUUGAUUCAUCUAUUCCUUCAUUCAAUUGUUAUUUUAGUGUUCCCUACUUUUUGUCAGGCAAUAGGGUUUAAAAAGAUGAAUAAGACAUGGUGGUUUCCACAGAUCGUAGAACCUCGUAGAGAAAGAAAGGUAUGUAACCAAAUAACUGAGAACGAUUAAACUAUUCAUUAAAAAUUUGCAACCCUUUCCAUUAAAGAAACAAUUAAAAAAAUAAGAUAGAGUCCCCAAAUCUUCUAUGAUUUGUAAAUUAUUAUAGAAGUAUGGGUGAUCCAAACUAUAUCAAAAACAAAAUUUCCUCUUUCAACUUUUCCCUCUUGUUAGAGUUAAUUUUGACAUUGGCAUCAGGACACAUUUUGUUUAUCUUUCGCUCUCACACUACAUCUGUUACCUUCUCUGUUAGGCAAGUAUAGAAAGUAAAUCACCAGGCAAGAAACAAUAAGCUCAGCAUACAUUUGAAACCAAGCAAGAAUCUGAAACCAAGUUGGUAGACAUAAUUUUAGUUCUACCUGUGUUCAUAAUGCUUUGCAUAUGGAAUACUGUAUCUAUAGAACUUUUAGCAGUUUUUUGGCCGGGCAGCAUGGCACAGUGGGAAAAUAUAGGCAUAGAAUAAGUUUAAAUUUUGGUUUUACCACUUAUUAAUUGUAUGGGAAACUCUUUUAACCUCAUUGACUCUAUUUCCUUAUUUGUGAAAAUGAGUGAUAGUAAUACUUAUAAUAGGAUUAUAGUGAACAUAUAUGCCCACACAUAUGACUUCAACAAAUAUAAGUUAUUAUUAAAACCUUAAGACAAAAAAGAAAGUAUAUUUUGAGCCCUUGGAUAACUGUACAAAGUACUCAAAUGCUUUAAUAUAAAUCAUAUAUAUUAGAGGCAGAAUUUGACUUGAUUAUAUUAAGCUGGCAAAUGGUUAUUAAGGUUGUUUUAACUUGGGACACCUACUGUGACAAGGUCAUUACAAGGUGUAAAUGCCUAGUAAGAGUGGUGAACUCUGGGAACCAGGCUGGACAUAGAUUGGAGCCAGUCAAGAUGGGAGUGUGGAGUGGGAGAUUAAGCUCUGCCUAUUUGAGGAGAAAUAUCCACAUAUUUGGAGUUCUUUUGUAAGGAAGAAUUGUCUUCUUCUUAGUUAAUUUAUUAGUUAAUUAAUUUUUAUUCAUUCAUUUAUAUUAGUAUGGAGUCAUGCAUAUUUUAUAUUUUAGGUAAAAAGCUAUGUUCUUUAUUUUGCUGUUUAAAUUGCUCCAACUUUGUCCAUGGGGAACUCUUUCAGGUUGUUUCCUGGCCUCUUUGAUGUGUUCUGACCCUUUGUUUUUCUGAGCACUUCUUUGCUUUUGGGGAUUAUAAAGUGCUCUAGGCUCAUCUUGUUUUUUCUCUCUGCUCCAGUUGUAAAAUCAGCCAUCUCUCCAAAGAGCCCUGGUUCCUUUUGUUAAGGAAUGGUAUAUAGAAACCAAAAUCUGGGUCCUGUGUGUGCUCAAUAAAUAUUUUCUGAGCAUUUCUAUCAGCUUGGCACAGUUCUGGGUGCUAGAGAUACAACAGCAAAGUUCUCUGGAUCUCAUAGAAUUUAUAUUCUAAUAGAUCAUGAAAUACUAUGAACAAAAUGAUACCAUGUUCAUGAUGCUAUGAACAAAACAUCUAGAAUAAUAUUUGGCUUAUAACAGGGGUUCAAUAAAUGUCAAUAACUCCUUCCCAACUCUCCCUCACUAUACUUGCUCUAAAGUUGUUCAAACCCCUUUUUAAGGGAUUGGAGCUAACUGGGCUGUGCCGAGGGCUAGAGUCUCAUGCAAGAGUGGGUGUAGAGAUUACUGCUAUUGCCGGGCUACAUAACACAUACGUUCUUCAAAGCAUGUUUGAAGUGUUCCUGUGAUGGCAAAUCAAUGUUUAUAAUUGAGGAUACCCAAGAGGUACAGCCAGGAGAUGAGGCCAAAAGCUCAGAAAUAUCAGUUGACCGAAACCAACUGUGGAAGCUGAGUACAAGUUGAAUCCAUUAAGAAAAGAUCCUGACUAGUCUAUGAAUGAGAUAGAGGACCUGGGUCUUUCUUGGGUCCUGCCUCCUUGGAAUAGGAACACUUUAUUGCUCAUAAGCCUAGGCAAGGCAAACAUGCUUGAUCUCUGAAUGUCCAUAUACCUGCUUUGCAACCUCCUCUUAUUUUCUGUCCACCACUCCCCUGCUGCCCUGCCAUGUAUUCCAGGGUUCAGAUAGAAGAAACCUUAGUGUAGGUAUAGUGUUGGCACUGCAAUGGCCACACUAUCUCCCAGAGUCAUAAUGCAGGGACUGGAGUAAGCUGUUAAUAGCUGCUCCCAGAGUUGAGGCUUACUUAAGGGAACACCUUGUCUCUCUGCUUUCUACCUUUGUGUUUAAGUCCCCUUGGUGCUGGGUGAAUGGGAAGUUGCUACCUGGGAGGGUCUAUGGUAAGGAGUAGGAACCCAUGGUCUCACUGGAUAUCCAGAUUGUGAACAGAAGGAGAGGCAGAGGUUAGUACCAGGGAAGUGGCCAAGCAGAUCCUGCCUCAGGCUAUAGACAGGAAAGUAACCCACAAGGCUAGAAUCUGGGAAGGCUGGGAACUUGUAAAGAAAAAAAAGUGUGAGGGGGGUAGACAAAAAGGUAUAGGACAAAGGCUGAAGGUGUUAGGGUACAUAUGCCCAGGUACAUGUGGUAAUGACUGCUGAAUGGGUGAGCUGGAUGGGUUCAGAUGGUUUUCCAGGCCCUUCCCCAGAAGCUCCAGAAGACUAAAAUUGCCCCUUCUUUCCCAGUGAUAGCAAAUAAUCAAUAAUUAUUUAUUAUAAUGAUAAUUAUAAGAUAAUUACCUUAGUAAUUAUAAUAAUAAAUACUAUAUAAAUAACAAAUGGAAAUUUGCCUUCUGAUGCCAUUUUGAGGUUGUGGUACUUUUUAGUAGGCAAAAUUCACCCAAAUCCAGUGAAAUGAAUUCCAGUACCUUAAAAAUUUUUGAAAAAAAAAUUUUUUUUUUGAAAAAAUAUGUUGAUGCGAGCCUGCCCUUGUUAACCUCAUCUUGAGGCCAGAAGAGGGCAUGCAGUUGUAAAAACAAGUUUGGUAUCCUUGUCCCUUUACAGCCUGGUUCCUUGACUGGAGACUAUAAUAUCAUGGAACCUAGAGGAAAACAAGGCUAAAAGGAAAUAAGGGAUGGUGUUAGGGCAAGAUUAUCCCAUCUUCUAUCACUGUCCUCUCAUAAAACCUGUUCUCCUGGCACAGUCUUGCCAAAAACAUGCUGACCAAUGCUUAGGGUACAAGUCAGGAGCAACGCAUGGGCAAUCAUGCAGGAUAAUGGUGGGGACUAGAUGAUUUGUCCUCAAAGUCAGACAUAAUGUCCUCUCACCUCUGUGCACAUCAGGACACUUGCAGAGCACUGUCUGUACCCCGAAUGGGAUACUUUAGAAGUCUUAGCUGCUUCGAAGUAGCAAACAAAACCCAAACAAGAUUUUAAAUUAAUUUCUAUGCCUCCUUGGCAGCUAUCAUGUUAAACGCAGUAAAUAUCUGGGGUAAACCUAGUAGUCACAGAGGAAAAUGAUAUCUCACACAUCUAUUUUGUAAUUAUUGCACAAAGUUUGCCACAUCCCUCAUGUUGAAUAUCACAUAGUUAAAUUGAUUAUCACUCCAGUUGAACAUGAUGAUCUGUAAUUAAAUUAUUAGUCAUUGUUCUGUUGCAUAAAAAUAUUUGGUUUCUCAACUUACAAAGUCUGUAACAAAGGUUGCUGGCUUGCAAGUUGAUAUUUACCAAUGACUUAUGCAAGGUUGUAAAAAAUUAAUUAGCAAAGGCUAAAGAAAAGAGUGAAUAAUUUGAGACAUUAUCAGGUCCUCUGUUUAAAAAAAAAAAAAAAAAAAACAGCCUUUAGAAACAUUAGAUUCAGGUUCUAAUAGAAUAAACCAAAAGAGCAUUUGCUUCCUUAACAACUAAGCACUAGAACUCUGCAGUCCUCUGGCAUAUAUUAACCAUGCUUAAAAUUCCCUCUCUGUGCUGCAGAGGCCAUAUUGACAGAGCAAAUAAAGCUGAGAAGGUGGCUAUCCUAUCCCCCUUAAUGUUUUUGCUCUGCACUUUCCUUUCCCUCUCUCCAUUGCCUGCUAUCUUGUUCUCAUCCUUCUCCAACCCCCUCCACGCUUCCUUAUGUUCCCUUCUAGCCAUGU
rnacentral:lncRNA from 1 species